rnacentral:rRNA from 1 species
UACGGGGGGGGCAAGCGUUGUUCGGAAUUACUGGGCGUAAAGGGCUCGUAGGCGGCCAACUAAGUCAGACGUGAAAUCCCUCGGCUUAACCGGGGAACUGCGUCUGAUACUGGAUGGCUCGAGUGCGGCAGAGGAGACUGGAAUUCCUGGUGUAGCAGUGAAAUGCGUAGAUAUCGUAAGGAAGACCAGUGGCGAAGGCGGGUCUCUGGACAGUUCCUGACGCUGAGGCACGAAGGUCAGGGGAGCAAACGGG